AUGAUCCUUUGCGAAUCCUUGCUAUUCGCUUUGAUUUGGUUUUAUUCUGGAUGAAGAACUGAAACAAGCUGCUUCAAGUGAGGAAGUGAGGGUAGCUCUUGG